ACUUAGAUAUGCAGCUGAAGGGGUUCCUGGGUUUAUUUCUCCUGAGAACUGGCAUGGGCUCUGAGUUUUGCCAUUCCUGGCUUCGGUCCUAGCAUUCUAAGCUGCCUGACCUUGGGCAUUUGUCAACCUGUCUGAACCUUAGUAUCCUUUCCUCUCUGUAGAGUGGGAAGAGAUGGAGUCUGUGAAGCGCCUGGUGCAAGCUGUACUAAUACACCUAACAAUGAGCUCCUCCCUCCCUGCCUCCUUGCCUCCCUGCCUCCCUCCCUCCCAUGGGGAGGCCAGAAUCUGGCUGCUUGCUGCCACCUAGUGGCUCUUUGGGGUCAUCUUCCCUCAUAGGAACCACAGAUCCAGUAGCCUAGAGCAGAAAGGGAAGGAAGAUUCAACCUAGGGGUGUUUAUGUUUACCGUGUGUCUGGCACUCGUGGAGAUAGUGCAUGGGACUACAUAAGUAAGACAGCAUCGAAGAGGUGUCUUGGAGUGUGGUUAGGAGCGAGGGCUCUGGAGUCAGACAAGCUACAGACUAGCUGAGUGACCUUGGGGCAAGUUAUUUCAUUUCACUGUGCCUCAGUUUCCCCAUCUGUAAAAUUUGUAUAACGAUAACCUACCUCGCGUAUCUACAGUGCCUAGCAUAGUGCCCCACAUAAAUGUGUUCACUAAAUGUACGUCGUUAUUAAUCAUAGGAGCUUGCAGUCUCACUAGGGCCGACUGGAAAACUAUUAAGUGAUCCUCAAAGCCACAGGCGCUCAGAGACUGGAGAGAUCAAGGUGCAGAAGACUCAGGGAAGGGUAGUCUUGAGGGCAGCUGCCCUUAAAGGGUGGGCAGCAUUUAGUGAAGCAGAUGGAGGGAAGUUGACCGGCAUCCCAGAUGUGGGGAAGAGGCCAGCAGCCUAGUCUCCUCCACGGCCCAGCCCCCACUGUCUUACCAAAGAACAGCUUUAACCAAACCCCUCUGGGCAUCAGGACCACCGCUACACCUCUUGCCAGGCUGCAGAGCUAUGCAGUCUGGAGGCCCAGCUCUCGUCAGAAGCUGGGGCAUGGGCUCUAGGGGAACCUGGGGUCGGAUGAGCCCCUGAGCAGGUGGCAGGUGCCUACAUGUCCCAGUGUGGGUUCGUGUUUGUGUAAGGCUCUCCUGCCCCCACCCCCAGGCACCAGCACAGCCUUUGCCUUCACUCUCUCCCCUCCCCUGUCCCUGGGGGAUUGAAUAAGGGAAGCUGGGGUUGGCCGUCCUUCUAGCUUGAUUGGCAGCACCAGCGCUGUGACGGAAGGAUGUGUUGUGCCAGCAGCCUCUUGGCCGCAGGACAAAUGCACAUUUAAAGAGAUAACCUUUUUGUGUCCUGGCUGGGAAAGAGGUCAGUGCAGAUGUUUUUGGGUCCAGGUGUUGGCUGUGAGUUUUCCUUUCCUCUAUGAACUGACCUCAGCAGCCUAGUGGACAGUCACCUCCUUACAGGUGUAAAAUCCAAGCCAGUCAACCAUAGCAGGUGGCAGACUUAGCUGCCUUCCCUGUGGUGUGGUGCAGACCAUGACCCUUGAGGCAAAUGGGUGAGCUGGCCCCACCUCGCCUGCAGCCUCCUCUGAGGCUCCCCUGCUGCCUCCCCACUAGCCGCCCUGAAUCACCUACUUCCCAGCACCCCCAGCCCGUGGUUCUCAUCCCGUCUUCCAUCUGUGAUCUGGCACUCAUUCUUCCAGAGCCAAAGAGGAAUCCCCUCUUCUCAUGCAGAAGACAGUCAUGCCUGCCCUUGUGUGUCAAAAGCAUUGCAUUUAUGCCCUGUUAGAACCCCUGUCACAAGCAUGGUGCCUGAACACAGGUGCCUCUGUGGUCUCUUCUCAUCCUCACCCAAUGGGUACUAUGCUAGCCCCAUUUUACAGAUGAGGCAAACGUGGCACGGAGAGCUCCACUAACUUGCCUGGAUGAUUCAUGCAUCCAUCCAUUCACUUAGCAAAUACUUAUUUAACUUCUGCUUUGUGCUAGCUAGUGGGGAUGUGGCAGUGGGGAUGUGGCAGUGGGGAUGUGGCAGUGGGGAUGUGGCAGUGGGAAUGUGGCAGUGGGGAUGUGGCAGUGAGGAAGACGACAGACAGGCUCCUUGGGAAGCAGAGUAAGCAAGUGAGGAGACAGGCGGGCGUGGUGAGGCUGCGCAGGCGCUGAGAUCGAGUUGCUGGGGGAGGCCUCUCUGAGGUGGUGGGGCUUGAGUUGAUUCUGAAGGACAAGAAGAGCCAGCCCUGGGGGUCUGGGGGAAUGGUAUUCCAAGUGGAGGGAACAGCAGGUGCUGGGGGCAGGGAGGUGACAGAUGUGUCCCAGGUACAGAGAACAGAGUGAACAGGAGAGAGGAGGGGGCCAGGGCAUUCCAGGUGGGGAAAGGCAGCAGGUGGCCCGGUGGUACCACCUCUUUUGGCGAGGGCUUUGGACCUUACCCGGUGUGAUGGGAAGUCCUGGAAGUGUGUUAAGCAGGGGAGUCUUUUUGAUCAGAUUUUCUAGAAAACGACAGUGGGCUGCUGUGGACCUCAGAGAGGCAUGUGUGAUAGUGUGUUUCGGGCUCUUCCCACGAAACUCGGCUCUGCACAGUGAGACCUCAUUUCCUGGUUCUGUUUGAUGAGUGAGCGAAUGCACAUGGCAGGCGGUCAUGUCCCUUGGGCCUGUGAGGUGAGGAAGGGUCCCUGAGCCCUGUGGGGAUAGAGACUCUUCCACCAUUCUGACAUGAUCCGAGUUAGCAGGCAGCACUGUCCAGAUGGAAAUGGGGAUGGGAGACAGACCAUCUCUCUCAGCGGGUCCAGCCAUGAGCCAGCAGACUGUUUCCCAUUGGCCCCCAUCUUUCAGAGUGGGAUGAUCUUUCUAACAAAGAAACCCACACAGGAAUUUGGUGUGUGUGUGCGUGUGUGUAUUACCUUUCAGGAUGGAAGCCGGUGGGGUGUGGAGCGAGGGGCUGGCAUGGUUGGCCUCGCCCAGCUCCUGUACCCUGUGUGUGCCUAGAGCAUGCACCUGCUCCCUCUGCUGGGCUGAGACUCAGAGGACACUGGGCAGGUGGUGGGGGGUAGGAGGGUCGUGGCUGUGUUGGGUGGGGCCACAUCAGGUGUGUGGCACAGAGGGGGAGGGGGAGGGGGAGUGGCAGUGUGUUCCACCCAGCAGUCCCUGUGUUUGACCUCUUCGUACACUCUCUGUUGUAUUAGCUCUCAGAAUGAAAACGAGAUACUUUUCCCCAAUCUAUGUACGUUGUUCUUAAGAAUGUACACUUGGCCAGGUGCAGUGGCUCACGCCUGUAAUCCCAGCACUUUGGGAGGCCAAUGUGGGUGGAUCACCUGAGGUCAGGAGUUCAAGACCAGCCUGGCCAACAUGGCGAAACCCCAUCUCUACUAAAAAUACAAAAAUCACCUGGGUGUGGUGGUGGGCACCUGUAAUCCCAGCUACUAGGGAGACUGAGGCAGGAGAAUUGCUUGAACCCAGGAGGUGGAGGUUGCAGUGAGCCGAGACCGCGCCACUGCACUCCAGCCUGGGCAACAAGAACGAAACUCUGUCUCCCAAAG
rnacentral:lncRNA from 10 species